GAAGUUUUCCCCAAACACAAGUGUAUGUUUCCUUGCUUGGUUAUUCUCAUUGUUCGAUUUAUGAAUUUCUAGAAUUGAUGCUAGAAACUUUUUGACAUAACUAUUAUGCUAUGUGAUUUAAAUUUUUUUAACUUCUGAUAGGUCUUUUUUUUUUAUUUCAUUUUUAUAAAUUUUGGAGAUUUGGAGUGAGCUGUUGACUAGAGGUAGGAUAAAGGUAAUUGGGGUUUGCUUGUGCUUUCGCAAUUGAUUUGCACGUCACCAUGUGGUGGGCAUUGAACAUCUGGCUUAAUUAAUUUAGUAGCAUCUGAGUUAUGUGAAAAUACUUAAAUGGAACCACAUAUCAAAGGGAGAAAAGGGAUAUCUGAAUAGCUGAAUCUCU
rnacentral:misc_RNA from 1 species